rnacentral:rRNA from 1 species
UACGGAGGGUGCAAGCGUUGUCCGGAUUUAUUGGGUUUAAAGGGUGCGUAGGCGGCCCGUUAAGUCAGUGGUGAAAGCCUCCAGCUCAACUGGAGAACUGCCAUUGAUACUGGCGGGCUUGAGUACAGACGAGGUAGGCGGAAUUGAUUGUGUAGCGGUGAAAUGCAUAGAUACAAUCAAGAACACCGAUUGCGUAGACAGCUUACUAGGCUGUAACUGACGCUGAGGCACGAAAGCGUGGGGAGCGAACAGG